rnacentral:rRNA from 1 species
CCCUUGUAUUUUUAUUUUUAUUGGAUAAAUUUUUAUUUAUAUAAAAUUAAAAAUUUUGGCAGUUAAUUUUAUAUUAAAGGAGCUUGUUUGGAUUGAGAAUUUGCUCUUUAAAUUUAAAUAAUUUGAAUUUUUAGUUUAUUCAUUUCUGUUAUUAAAAAAAUUAAAAAAAAGUUCAUUUAGAAUUUCAGGUCAAGAUGUAACAAUUAUAUUAUUAAUAAUUAGCUACAAUUAGAUAUUAUUUUGGUUAAAAGGGUUAAGUAUAAAUUUUUAUAAAUUGAAUUUAGUUGUAAUAGGUAUUUAUAAUAUUAUUAUGAUUUAGGAAAAUUAAUGU